rnacentral:lncRNA from 1 species
GCUGUUAACCGAAGACUUCUUUGCUUUCCAUAACCACAGUGCUGAAGGAUAUGAACAAGACACAGAAUUCGGCAACACAGCUCAUCUAGGGGACUGCCAUGAAAUUUUGCCUACUUCAACUACACCAGAUUACAAAAUAUUUGGCGGUCCAACAUCUGGUUAGUUUUUUUUAAUUUUUUUGAAUUAACAACCUUUUCUUUCCUUCAGUUCAGCAUUUUCAGCCCCUUCUCCCCUCCUUUUGCGCAGUUUGGCAGCCCUUCAUUUUUCCGCUUUGACUCAUAUUCCCACUGAUGGUACCAAAAGACUUUUCUUACUGAGCACUUCACCCUUGUUUAUAGCAUGUUAACACUUCAUCAUUGACCAAGCCACAUCCUUUAAGAAAAUUCAAAUGGGCUAACAUAGACUGCAUUCCAGCUGCACGCACGCCCACCCAAGCUUUCUUCUUUCUCACCUCUUUGCAUUGUGAAUGUUUCUUCUGGUCAUCUGUAUUUAAUGGAUGGCGGAAUUUCAUUAUUUUCCCCAUCUCUCCUCACCUUUCCUAUGACCUAGUAAACAAAUACACAUUUCCCAUAAAUGUGUA